rnacentral:rRNA from 1 species
UACAGAGGUCUCAAGCGUUGUUCGGAUUCAUUGGGCGUAAAGGGUGCGUAGGCGGCGCGGUAAGUCGGGGUGUGAAAUCUUGGAGCUUAACUCCGAAACUGCAUUCGAUACUGGCGUGCUUGAGGACUGGAGAGGAGACUGGAAUUCAUGGUGUAGCAGUGAAAUGCGUAGAGAUCAUGAGGAAGACCAGUGGCGAAGGCGGGUCUCUGGACAGUUCCUGACACUGAGACACGAAGGCCAGGGGAGCAAACGGG